rnacentral:rRNA from 1 species
CAGUCGCCGCGGUAAUACGUAGGUGGCAAGCGUUGUCCGGAAUUAUUGGGCGUAAAGGGCUCGCAGGCGGUUUCUUAAGUCUGAUGUGAAAGCCCCCGGCUCAACCGGGGAGGGUCAUUGGAAACUGGGAAACUUGAGUGCAGAAGAGGAGAGUGGAAUUCCACGUGUAGCGGUGAAAUGCGUAGAGAUGUGGAGGAACACCAGUGGCGAAGGCGACUCUCUGGUCUGUAACUGACGCUGAGGAGCGAAAGCGUGGGGAGCGAACAGGAUUAGAUACCCCGGUAGUCCCUGUCUCUUAUAC